UACGGAGGGUGCGAACGUUGCUCGGAAUCAUUGGGCGUAAAGCGCACGUAGGCGGCGGCGUAAGCGGGAUGUGAAAGCCCAGGGCUCAACCCUGGAAGUGCAUCCCGAACUGUGUCGCUUGAAUCUCGGAGGGGGACAGAGAAUUCCCGGUGUAGAGGUGAAAUUCGUAGAUAUCGGGAGGAAUACCAGUGGCGAAGGCGGCUCACUGGCCCAUAACUGACGCUGAGGCACGAAAGCGUGGGGAGCAAACAGG
rnacentral:rRNA from 1 species